rnacentral:rRNA from 1 species
GACGAACGCUGGCGGCGUGCUUAACACAUGCAAGUCGAACGAAGAGCGAUGGAAGCUUGCUUCUAUCAAUCUUAGUGGCGAACGGGUGAGUAACGCGUAAUCAACCUGCCCUUCAGAGGGGGACAACAGUUGGAAACGACUGCUAAUACCGCAUACGAUCUAACCUCGGCAUCGAGGAAAGAUGAAAGGUGGCCUCUAUGUAUAAGCUAUCACUGAAGGAGGGGAUUUGCGUCUGAUUAGCUAGUUGGAGGGGUAACGGCCCACCAAGGCGAUGAUCAGUAGCCGGUCUGAGAGGAUGAACGGCCACAUUGGGACUGAGACACGGCCCAGACUCCUACGGGAGGCAGCAGUGGGGAAUCUUCCGCAAUGGACGAAAGUCUGACGGAGCAACGCCGCGUGAGUGAUGACCGGCUUCGGGUUGUAAAGCUCUGUUAAUCGGGACGAAAGGCCUUCUUGCGAAUAGUUAGAAGGAUUGACGG